GGGGGCGCACCGGUUUCGACGGGGAUAGUCGAGGUCGGAGUUGCAGGUCGAGGCGCCGCUGGCCUCGUAAAAAGCGGCACAACCAAUAGUUGCCAAGAACGACUACGAUUACGCUCUGGCCGCCUAAAUAACGGUCACGUCGAAGCGGUGGACGUCAGAUAAACCGUGACGGCGAAAACUUAUCUGGCUGGCGUCGUUGGUCGGUCCGUUGCCGACGAUGCGAGAAAACAGACGGUCUUGGUUUUCCGGCUGCCGUGAGUGGGGGCAAUCCGGAAAAUGACGACGAAACUCAUUCUAAACCUGUAGAUGCUCCGUGCCGAGCGUUCUCGGACGCGGGUUCAAUUCCCGCCGCCUCCACCA
rnacentral:tmRNA from 1 species